GGUGACAUUAUGGGCUCCUCCAUCAGCGGUAUAGAAAAGUUACUCAAAAUGCCGUACGGCUGUGGUGAACAAAAUAUGAUAAACUUCGCUCCGAGCAUGUUCAUACGAGCCUAUCUGGAGAGUGUCGGUCAGCUUACAUCAAGUAUCAGAGAAAAGUCGAUAAAAUUCAUGACGUCAGGUAAGUCUGAUAGCAACUUCGUACCUACAGUUGAAAUUCACAAACGAUUUGUAAACAAAGCCUCCGAU